rnacentral:misc_RNA from 1 species
AACGCACAUUGCGCCCCCUGGUAUUCCGGGGGGCACACCUGUUCGAGCGCCAUUUCUACCCUGGAGCCCUGCUCUGUGAUGGGCCCCGUCCUCGCGGACGGGCCCGAAACCCGUGGGCGCCGUCGUCCGGUCCCGAGCGUAGCAAGAGAAAUCCCUCGCUCGGAGCGCCAGGCGGUGGCCGCCCCGACCCAUUUUUACAAGGUUGGCCUCGGAUCAGGUGGGGAUACCCGCUGAACUUAA